rnacentral:lncRNA from 1 species
UGUUUAUGUGCUUUUUUCUAAAUUAUUGUAGCUAAUUGCUUCUGUAGGGUUAUGGAUGAGAUCAUUUUCCUGAAUUAGAGAUCUGUGUAUGAACUACUAUUCUGAUUAAAUAUUUUCAGGACACCUUUUUUACUGGGAAAGAAUUUGGGAAAUGGUGUUGGGAUGAAUGACUAAAAUCAGAAUCUCUUCUUACACUUGUGAAAUGCGCUUGCRAGCAUUUGUCAGUAUCUCAAUUGGUUUACAUUUGUGGUGUUUUUUUUCUUCCUUUUUCAUUUAGGUGAGAGUUCAACUACUUCUGAUAAAGCAGCAUUCAGAAACAUAAUUGAUGAGAGGCUUACAUAAGGUUUGUUUCCUGAUUUCAUAAUUGGCAAAGCUGAGAUAGUGAAUCCUGACUGUUGAAGGGUGCAAGGUGUGAAUCUGUGCUCACGCAGUAUUUGAAUGACUGGGUGAAUAUUUGGAAGGACUUCUGAAUUAUUUUGGCUGCAACAGAACUCCUCACUGGAUGAUGUACUCUUGUAAUUGAUCAUAGCAACUGCAUAAACUACACAAGCAAAUAGAACAUGUAUGCCCAGGAUUUAAUCUGGAGGUUCAUAGCUAGACAGAUCUGUACAAAUGGCGUUAUGUUCAGGUAUCCUGGAUUAUCAUUUUUGUUUGUGAUUUCUUCUGAAAAUUUAAAGAGAAGAUUUUUUUUGAUGGUGUA